UUUUGGUAGCAGCUACAAAGAAGGACAGAGGAUAUUUGAGCUCCAAGCUGAACUAGCUCAGCUCAUCAUACAAGCUUUUAGAAAGCACAUCAUUCCUGGAUAUAGUUAUCUUCCAACGAAGGAAAAUAGAAUGAUGAAGGCAAAAGCCAGAGAAGUCCAAGAUAUACUGAGAGGGAUAGUUAACAAGAGGUUAAGGGCUAGAGAAGCUGGUGAAGCACCCAGCGAUGACUUGCUUGGUAUACUUCUUGAAUCUAAUUUGGGACAAGUUAAAGGAAAUGGAAUGAGCAAUGAGGAUGUGAUAGAGGAAUGCAAGCUGUUCUAUUUCGCCGGGCAAGAGACAACUUCAGUACUUCUAGUUUGGACAAUGGUUUUGCUAAGCCAACACCAAGAUUGGCAAGCUAAGGCAA